UCCUACGGGAGGCAGCAGUGGGGAAUUUUGGACAAUGGGGGCAACCCUGAUCCAGCAAUGCCGCGUGAGUGAAGAAGGCCUUCGGGUUGUAAAGCUCUUUUGUCCGGGAAGAAACGGCUGCCUCUAAUACAGGGAGCUAAUGACGGUACCGGAAGAAUAAGCACCGGCUAACUACGUGCCAGCAGCCGCGGUAAUACGUAGGGUGCAAGCGUUAAUCGGAAUUACUGGGCGUAAAGCGUGCGCAGGCGGUUGUGCAAGACAGAUGUGAAAUCCCCGGGCUUAACCUGGGAAUUGCAUUUGUGACUGCACGGCUAGAGUGUGUCAGAGGGGGGUAGAAUUCCACGUGUAGCAGUGAAAUGCGUAGAUAUGUGGAGGAAUACCGAUGGCGAAGGCAGCCCCCUGGGAUAACACUGACGCUCAUGCACGAAAGCGUGGGGAGCAAACAGGAUUAGAUACCCUGGUAGUCCACGCCCUAAACGAUGUCAACUAGUUGUCGGGUCUUAAUUGACUUGGUAACGCAGCUAACGCGUGAAGUUGACCGCCUGGGGAGUACGGUCGCAAGAUUAAAACUCAAAGGAAUUGACGGA
rnacentral:rRNA from 1 species